rnacentral:rRNA from 1 species
CAAGUCGAACGAGAUGUCCCACUGAUUACAGAGUGCUUGCACAAUGUAUGAUUUGGAUUUGCAUCUAGUGGCGCAAGGGUGAGUAACACAUGGGUAAUCUACCUUUGAGUUUGGAAUAACAGUUAGAAAUGAUUGCUAAUGCCGAAUUAUAUAUAGGAUGAUACGUCUUUCUAUAUUAAAAAGGAGCCUUUAAAGCUUCGCUUGAAGAUGAGCCUGUGGCGUAUUAGCUUGUUGGUGGGGUAACGGCCUACCAAGGCGACGAUGCGUAGCCGACCUGAGAGGGUGAUCGGCCACACUGGGACUGAGACACGGCCCAGACUCCUACGGGAGACAGCAGUUAGGAAUAUUCGUCAAUGGGGGAAACCCUGAACGAGCAAUGCCGCGUGAAGGAUGACAGUCUUAUGGAUUGUAAACUUCUGUUGUUAGGGAAGAAUGGUACUAGUAGGAAAUGACUAGUAAGAUGACGGUACCUUUCAUAGAAAGCUCCGGCUAACUACGUG